AGAUUUGCGCAGUGGCAGUAUCGUAGCCAAUGACGUUAAUCCGAGGCGUGAUUAUUGCUAAUUGAAAACUUUUCCCAAUUCUCCGCCAUGACGACUUGAAAUAUAGUCGGCAAUAGCAAUUUUUGACAGUCUCGGGGGGGG